rnacentral:rRNA from 1 species
UACGUAGGGACCGAGCGUUGUCCGGAAUCAUUGGGCGUAAAGGGCGCGUAGGCGGCGCGGGAAGUCAACGGUGAAAGCUUGGGGCUCAACUCCGAGUCGGCCGUCGAUACUCCCGUGCUCGAGCACUGUAGAGGCAGAUGGAAUUCCGGGUGUAGCGGUGGAAUGCGUAGAGAUCCGGAAGAACACCGGUGGCGAAGGCGGUCUGCUGGGCAGUUGCUGACGCUGAUGCGCGACAGCGUGGGGAGCAAACAGG